rnacentral:lncRNA from 1 species
AAAAUUUUAGUCAUACUUGGUUGCUGGAAACUCAAUUAUUGAAAAGUAGAUUUCAAAUUGAUAUUAACUAUCUUCAACAAAUGUACUAUAACAGAGAGCAUGAUCUAGUUCUAGGAAAUCCUCUAGAAUUUUUCUUGUUAAAGAUAUUCCAUGAAUCAUUAUAUGUGAAGAAUGAGAGUCAUGUUACCUUACAUGCCAAAGCAGGGUCGGAGCUCCGUAAAGCACCAAAAAGCUAAAUUAAAGAGUCUAGCACAAGAAAAGUAAAUGAUGUUUUGUUAUCUUAUAGUGGUGAGCAGUAGUGGAGCUAAAGGGAGCCAAGGGCAUUCAAAUUAAUCCCCUUUGCCGAAAAAUUAUAAUACGUGAAUAGGGUAAAAAAAGUUUAGGUAUAUAUGAAUUGCUGAAUUCGCUUGAUAUAAGAAAAGAUUCUAGUGUAGUGGUAAUGAGAUUAUAGCAAAGAAAAGGAAAACAAAGAGGAAAAAAAUUAAAAUAAUUCUGUGCAUUCUAACAGAGAAAUAAAGAUGAAAUUUCGGGAGAAAAUCUAGAAUACAAGUAUAAGCACCCGUUGGAGAAACUACAUCCAGAUUUUACUUUAUACAGGAAAAAAAUGCCAUUCAAAAAGAUCUCGAAAUAAACCCAAAAUUAUAAAUUGAACUCAUCUAUAGAAAUUAUAUCAUCAAAGUAAACAAGUGUUGGAAAUUUGCUUCACCUAGACAAAUAUAAGACCUAUCUGUUUGCCACCAUCUUGACCUGUGCAAGUGAUAAGAUACAAGAGAUUCAACGAUAUUUUAAAAUUAAGAAUUAGGAAUUAUGAAAUUGUAUGUAAAUGAAGUGAAACCCCUAUAAACUUUUUCUAAUAAGUAAAAAGGUUCUCAGCCUCAGACCUCGGGACUGUUCAAUUAUUGUAUAAUCGAAACCAUAAUCCAUCUGUUCGUUGACAAAUUGGAAACAAAACAGAACUGUUUCAGGAUUUAGAACCAGAUUAAGAUGACGAAUUAGUGUAUGAAAAUCUCUUUGUACCCAAACAAAACCAAGCAUCAUAAAAAAGGAAAGGGGAAUGUAUGAUGAAGAACAUACCUUUGUUGUUCGGAUUGUGGCGACUUGCCCUGUAGAGAAGAUGAUGAAGAAAGGGCGUCCGCAACUUGCUCUACUGAAAGAUUUCGUGAGUUAAGAGGCACGGGAAUUGAGCCCUAAUUGAUAUUCAUAACUUCUGAACGUGGGUAAAUAAACGGGGAUCUGAAAAAUUUAAUCGAAUUACCUAAUUACUCCCUGGUGUGUGAAGUAAAGUUGGGGAUGAUGUGUCCAAUAUUGUCAUUUAACUUUCUUUUAUUUUUAUUUAUUUUUUACUAUUUGAGAAAUAGAACUAAUUUACUUCAAAUUGAUAAAGUGAUUUUUUUGGUCUUUUAAAAUUGGGAAUGAGAAGUUGGUCUUGUAGCUCCUAGAAUAAAAAUGAUAAGUAACAACAUAAAGUUCUAAAAUGACUCAUGUUGAAAUAAUUUAAACGAAGGCAAAAAGAAGUAAAAAGAAAACUGAUUUACGAUACGUUUUAUUUUCUACUAUUUCAUCAAUAUUGCUUCAUAUUAGCACCAUUAUCAACAUGUGUCGUAAUAUUAUAUUAAGAGUUCGUUAAGUUAAAAAUAAUCCUAUUUAUAUGAUGAAUUUAGAAAAGAAUCCAAUUGAAUUUUUUACCUAAUAAGUUAUUUCAAAGACUUAAUUAUUUGUUCUCAACAUUAUUUUUGUUGAUUCAAAUUUUUAGUAUUAUCUCAUCCCAAGUUUUAAAUAUUAAGUAAUUUUAAUUAUAUGAUAAAUUUGAAAAACUGAAUUGUAUUCUUUUGCUAAUUAGUUAAUUUCUCAAGUUAUAAAAAAAAUCUUUGAAGGAGAAAAUUGCAAAUUAAAUUGCAUUCAUAAUCAAGGAUAAUUAAUAUUGCUAAUAAAUAAUAAAUUUUAAGAGCUUUUGAGUUGGUGAUUGUGAACUCUAUUUUUCUGAAGAGGGAGGAGCAUUUCAUUACUUCCCGGAGUAUGGUGGCUAAGACUCAGAUUGAUUAUCUCCUCCUCAGAAGGUGUGAUAAGGGUUUGUGCGAGGAUUGUAAGGUAAUCCCGAGGGAGAACCUCGCGACACAACGUAGACUCCUGGUGAUGGACGUCGGUAUCUUGAUAAAGAGGAAAAAGAGGUCUGUACGGGGUCAACUGAGGAUUAGAUGGGGAGUUUUGACUAAGGACAAUGCGCAGGAGUUAGAGAGGCGGUUAACGGCUUUGGGGGCCCUGGAAGAGUGGUGAGGAUGCUAGCGUUAUAUGGACGGCGAUGACGGACUGUAUAAGGGAGGUGUUAGAGAUCUCGA